rnacentral:tRNA from 1 species
UCUCUGAUGGUUCAGUGGUUAGGACUCUGUGCUUUCACUGCCAGGGCCCAGGAUUGAUCCCUGGUCAGGGAA